AUUUCUGGGCCCACUGCAACCGUUUCUGCUUGUGAGCAUUGGUUAGGGGGGGCUGAAUAGUAGGUUUAUGCAUGACUGUGUAACCCAGUGAAUUAAUUUAAAUGUAUACAGAUUGUGCCAUCCUGCCUGCCUGCAGGAGUGACCUUGUGCCGCCAUAACAAACUGGUUAUUUUAUUUUUUCCCCAAAUUAAUCUACUAAUUUCCUUAAACUGUUUAUUUUUUUUACAAACCGUUCAUACCACACCCCAAAUCCGCAACUCAUUAUCCAAUUCGAGCUCAUCCCAUAACACAUAAAUAUCCGGUGCACAAGGUCACUUCCUCUUUGGCAAUCUCCUCACCUGGGGUCACGCAGGCAGCACGGCUGGUUGGCAGCAGAAAUUACACACUACCUUCACUUAACGGUCGAUCCUAACAUUGUAGAGACUCAGCGGUCAGGUUUUUUUUGUUACCCCUUCCUUUCCCUGGAUUGGAUCCGUCGUAAGACUGGCGAGCUACCCAAGGAACUCUGAACUCCCCCCCUUUCCCAAAGAAGACUACCACGGUUAGGGUAGGAACAAGGACUCUGGGACAUGAGGAACUGAACUGAUUUAAGGUCGAUUAAAGAAAGGGCAGAACUUUAAUUUUUUUGCAUUUUUUUAAAAAGGCCUCCCUUUGUUAUUAUUGAUGGAUUGUUUGAAGUUGUUUGUGUUUAUUAUUUGGAAAAAAUAUUAUUUGUCAAUACACUUACUUUAAACUUAA